CAAAAGGCUGAUAAGAAGUUAAAAAGCUGUAUCUCCGACUGGGAAAUCAAGAAGAGCAAGGCAGGAGUCUGCUAAAACGAUAAAUAUUUGCAGCCGAUCAUUUGGGUGACUUGCAAGCACCAUGGAUCCCCCGUCUGCCUACACUGACUGCAUCUCGUCUCAAGACGAGCGAGGGAGAAGGAACUAUACAUUCAGGUUUCUUGAGUAUUUAUUUUCCUUCUUCCUAUCCUCUUAAAAAAAAAAACACACAAUAUCUAUUAUUCUUAAA